UACGUAGGUGGCAAGCGUUAUCCGGAAUUAUUGGGCGUAAAGCGCGCGCAGGUGGUUUCUUAAGUCUGAUGUGAAAGCCCCCGGCUCAACCGGGGAGGGUCAUUGGAAACUGGGGAACUUGAGUGCAGAAGAGGAUAGUGGAAUUCCAAGUGUAGCGGUGAAAUGCGUAGAGAUUUGGAGGAACACCAGUGGCGAAGGCGACUGUCUGGUCUGUAACUGACACUGAGGCGCGAAAGCGUGGGGAGCAAACAGG
rnacentral:rRNA from 1 species